rnacentral:rRNA from 1 species
AACGAACGCUGGCGGCAUGCCUAACACAUGCAAGUCGAACGAGACCUUCGGGUCUAGUGGCGCACGGGUGCGUAACGCGUGGGAACCUGCCCUUAGGUUCGGAAUAACUCCCCGAAAGGGGUGCUAAUACCGGAUAAUGUCUUCGGACCAAAGAUUUAUCGCCUUUGGAUGGGCCCGCGUUGGAUUAGCUAGUUGGUAGGGUAAAAGCCUACCAAGGCGACGAUCCAUAGCUGGUCUGAGAGGAUGAUCAGCCACACUGGUACUGAGACACGGCCCAGACUCCUACGGGAGGCAGCAGUGGGGAAUAUUGGACAAUGGGCGAAAGCCUGAACCAGCAAUGCCGCGUGAGUGAUGAAGGCCUUAGGGUUGUAAAGCUCUUUUACCCGGGAUGAUAAUGACAGUACCGGGAGAAUAAGCUCCGGCUAACUCCGUG